rnacentral:lncRNA from 1 species
GUAACCUUCCGAAACGGAGGCAGAAUUGCCCCACUGUACCUAGCCCAGCCCUGAAGGCGACGACCAAAGGGCUCUUUCUCGCUUCCUUAGGUCUUAUGGUCUGAUUCCUCAGUGACCGUGGUAACAAAGUCUUCUGCCGAAGUGACCGAUUUCAUUUCAAAGUUAGGUCAGUUGUGCCCAGAAGAAAAUUUGGAGAAAUUCAUUCCUUUUCUAACUGGUCCAGAUUCGUUUUACUUAGAAAGAAGCCAUAUGGACUUGGAAUCAGACCUGAGGUAUUUGGCAUCCUUACCGUCCCAUAUCUGGAAAAAUGACCACGUCAAGAAAUUUUUCAGCACUUCAUGUCACUCCCCACAAUAUCAAAGUUCAAGUGAGUUUAAAGACCAAGCGCCACCUCAACCCUCUCCCAAAAUAUAUGUGUAUAAUAACUCUCUAAACACUGUGAUAUCCUUGUUUUUAGGUCCCAGCAAUUCUUCCCUUUACAAAGUGGGUACGAUGCUGGGUGCUUCCGGAAGGUGAGAUGAAUUUAGGGAGCGGGUAGAAUACAGAAAAACAGAAAAGUAGUUCCACUUGCUGUGUAUUUAAGGGAAAUGGC